CCUACGGUGGGCAGCAGUGGGGAAUAUUGGGCAAUGGGCGCAAGCCUGACCCAGCAACGCCGCGUGAAGGAAGAAGGCUUUCGGGUUGUAAACUUCUUUUAAGGGGGAAGAGCAGAAGACGGUACCCCUUGAAUAAGCCACGGCUAACUACGUGCCAGCAGCCGCGGUAAUACGUAGGUGGCAAGCGUUGUCCGGAUUUACUGGGUGGAAAGGGUGUGUAGGCGGUGUAGCAAGUUAGAAGUGAAAUACCUAGAGCUUAACUCAGGUGCUGCUUCUAAAACUGCUAUACUUGAGUGCAGUAGAGGAAAGUGGAAUUCCUAGUGUAGCGGUGGAAUGCGUAGAUAUUAGGAGGAACAUCAGUGGCGAAGGCGACUUUCUGGACUGUAACUGACGCUGAGGCACGAAAGUGUGGGGAGCAAACAGGAUUAGAUACCCGUGUAGUC
rnacentral:rRNA from 1 species